rnacentral:rRNA from 1 species
UACGAAGGGGGCUAGCGUUGCUCGGAAUUACUGGGCGUAAAGCGCACGUAGGCGGAUCUUUUAAGUCAGGGGUGAAAUCCUGGAGCUCAACUCCAGAACUGCCUUUGAUACUGAGGGUCUUUGAGUUCGGGAGAGGUGAGUGGAACUGCGAGUGUAGAGGUGAAAUUCGUAGAUAUUCGCAAGAACACCAGUGGCGAAGGCGGCUCACUGGCCCGAUACUGACGCUGAGGUGCGAAACGUGGGGACAACAGGGAUAAGAUACCCGUAGUA